UACGGAGGGCGCAAGCGUUGUUCGGAAUCAUUGGGCGUAAAGCGCGUGUAGGCGGCUUGGCAAGUCGGGUGUGAAAUCCCGGGGCCCAACCCCGGAACUGCAUUCGAAACUGCCUCGCUCGAGUCCCGGAGAGGAAGUCGGAAUUCCCGGUGUAGAGGUGAAAUUCGUAGAUAUCGGGAGGAACACCAGCGGCGAAGGCGGCCUUCUGGACGGUGACUGACGCUGAUACGCGAAAGCGUCAGGAGCAAACAGU
rnacentral:rRNA from 1 species